rnacentral:rRNA from 11 species
GCUUACGGCCAUACCACCCUGAACACGCCCGAUCUCGUCUGAUCUCGGAAGCUAAGCAGGGUCGGGCCUGGUUAGUACUUGGAUGGGAGACCGCCUGGGAAUACCAGGUGCUGUAAGCUU